rnacentral:rRNA from 1 species
GACGAACGCUGGCGGCGUGCCUAAUACAUGCAAGUAGAACGCUGAAGGAGGAGCUUGCUUCUCUGGAUGAGUUGCGAACGGGUGAGUAACGCGUAGGUAACCUGCCUGGUAGCGGGGGAUAACUAUUGGAAACGAUAGCUAAUACCGCAUAACAGUAGAUAUUGCAUGAUAUCUGCUUGAAAGGUGCAAUUGCAUCACUACCAGAUGGACCUGCGUUGUAUUAGCUAGUUGGUGAGGUAACGGCUCACCAAGGCGACGAUACAUAGCCGACCUGAGAGGGUGAUCGGCCACACUGGGACUGAGACACGGCCCAGACUCCUACGGGAGGCAGCAGUAGGGAAUCUUCGGCAAUGGACGGAAGUCUGACCGAGCAACGCCGCGUGAGUGAAGAAGGUUUUCGGAUCGUAAAGCUCUGUUGUAAGAGAAGAACGAGUGUGAGAGUGGAAAGUUCACACUGUGACGGUAUCUUACCAGAAAGGGACGGCUAACUACGUGCCAGCAGCCGCGGUAAUACGUAGGUCCCGAGCGUUGUCCGGAUUUAUUGGGCGUAAAGCGAGCGCAGGCGGUUAGAUAAGUCUGAAGUUAAAGGCUGUGGCUUAACCAUAGUACGCUUUGGAAACUGUUUAACUUGAGUGCAAGAGGGGAGAGUGGAAUUCCAUGUGUAGCGGUGAAAUGCGUAGAUAUAUGGAGGAACACCGGUGGCGAAAGCGGCUCUCUGGCUUGUAACUGACGCUGAGGCUCGAAAGCGUGGGGAGCAAACAGG